rnacentral:rRNA from 2 species
UUUCCGGUUGAUCCCGCCGGACCUGACUGCUAUCGGAUUGAUACUAAGCCAUGCGAGUCUUUGUAGUAAUACAAGGCAGACGGCUCAGUAACACGUAGUCAAUCUACCCUAUGGACGAGAAUAAUCUCGGGAAACUGAGCAUAAUUCUCGAUAGAUCAUAAUGCCUGGAAUGGUUUUUGGUUAAAAUGAUUCGUCGCCAUAGGAUGGGACUGCGGCCUAUCAGCUUGUUGGUGAGGUAGUGGCCCACCAAGGCGAUUACAGGUACGGGCUCUGAGAGGAGAAGCCCGGAGAUGGGUACUGAGACAAGGACCCAGGCCCUAUGGGGCGCAGCAGGCGAGAAAACUUUGCAAUGUGCGAAAGCACGACAAGGUUAAUCCGAGUGAUUUCUGCUAAAGAAAUCUUUUGUCAGUCAUAAAAUCACUGAUGAAUAAGGGGUGGGCAAGUUCUGGUGUCAGCCGCCGCGGUAAAACCAGCACCUCAAGUGGUCAGGAUGAUUAUUGGGCCUAAAGCAUCCGUAGCCGGCUCUGUUAGUUUUCGGUUAAAUCCAUGUGCUCAACGCAUGGGCUGCCGAAAAUACUGCAGUGCUAGGGAGUGGGAGAGGUAGACGGUACUCAGUAGGAAGGGGUAAAAUCCUUUGAUCUAUUGAUGACCACCUGUGGCGAAGGCGGUCUACCAGAACACGUUCGACGGUGAGGGAUGAAAGCUGGGGGAGCAAACCGGAUUAGAUACCCGGGUAGUCCCAGCUGUAAACGAUGCAGACUCGAUGAUGCAUUGGCAUAUAGCCAGUGCAGUGUCGCAGGGAAGCCGUUAAGUCUGCCGCCUGGGAAGUACGUACGCAAGUAUGAAACUUAAAGGAAUUGGCGGGGGAGAA